UAGCUGAGGAAAAGGAAACCAACCGGGAUUGCCUUAGUAACGGCGAGUGAAGCGGCAAAAGCUCAAAUUUGAAAUCUAGUACCUUCGGUGCUCGAGUUGUAAUUUGUAGAGGGAUACUUUGGGGCCGUUCCUUGUCUAUGUUCCUUGGAACAGGACGUCAUAGAGGGUGAGAAUCCCGUGUGGCGAGGAGUGCGGUUCUAUGUAAAGUGCCUUCGAAGAGUCGAGUUGUUUGGGAAUGCAGCUCUAAGUGGGUGGUAAAUUCCAUCUAAAGCUAAAUAUUGGCGAGAGACCGAUAGCGAACAAGUACAGUGAUGGAAAGAUGAAAAGAACUUUGAAAAGAGAGUGAAAAAGUACGUGAAAUUGUUGAAAGGGAAGGGCAUUUGAUCAGACAUGGUGUUUUGCGCCCUCUGCUCCUUGUGGGUGGGGGACUCUCGCAGCUCACUGGGCCAACAUCAGUUUUGGUGGUCGGACAAAUCCGUAGGAAUGUAGCUUACCCUCGGUAAGUGUUAUAGCCUGCGGGAAUACGGCCAGCCGGGACUGAGGACUGCGA
rnacentral:rRNA from 1 species